ACCUGGUCCAAGUGCAGUAGUGUUUUCAACUAAUCACAACCAUUUACAGAUUCCUUUGUUCCUUCUCCAAUCCUACUGCUUCACUUGACUAGCCUAAA
rnacentral:Y_RNA from 1 species